rnacentral:rRNA from 1 species
AUACGGAGGGUCCGAGCGUUAUCCGGAAUCAUUGGGUUUAAAGGGUCCGUAGGCGGGAAUCUAAGUCAGUGGUGAAAUCUUGCAGCUCAACUGUAAAAUUGCCAUUGAUACCGGAUUUCUUGAAUUAGUGUGAAGUGGUUAGAAUGUGUAGUGUAGCGGUGAAAUGCAUAGAUAUUACACAGAAUACCAAUUGCGAAGGCAGAUCACUAACACUAUAUUGACGCUAAGGGACGAAAGCGUGGGGAGCGAACAGGAUUAGAUACCCUAGUAGUCC